GUAUGAGAACACUUCUCAUCAAAACUUCCCAUGUGCUAUAAUUGUUUUCGUCCAGUUUCUCAAUAUUGAAAUUCAUAUAUCCACUCAUUUUUGAUACUUAUUGUCCCACUGUGCAAAAUUUGUAACGACGACAAUACUGUUGUCCCUGUCUUUCCUUUUUUUUUCGUUUUCUUUUAUGUAUCCCUCCGAGUUGCUAUUCACACACAGACACUCACGAUUUUCUAAGGCUUGGUGUACACACUUUUUGGUAUACACGCCCUGUAGAACCAAAGGGGUCAAUUGACCCCUCUCGAACUAGUUCUGCGCUGUUUACCGCGCAACUAGCUAUUCAACUAGUUACGCGGGAAGCGAACGCGGACCAGGUCUUCGUCGACUACAAUGUACUAGUUCUGCAACUAGUUACGCGGGAAGCGAACGCGGACCAGUCGAAAAAGAACCGAAAAACGAAGCCGCCUUCGGUUUGUUUUUGAAGGCGGCAAAUACCCGCAAUUCCGUGGAGUUACAGUGCCCACUCAGCUAGUUUUUACCGAGCCACGACAUGCAAUAAGCACCGAAAUGGUAAGUUAAUCGUGAUAUUUUACUGUAGUUGCGCUCGUGGAAUGAAAGAGACAAGAAUUUACACAAACAAAAUGCAUUUGUUUUCCUCGUUUGCUUUAUGCGUUGAUUUUGUUCACUUCUGUACAACAUCUAAUCGCUGGAAGAGUCUUUUGUGUAAACAUUUAUUAAAAAACUGGAAAAGAAUUAAUAAAUAAAUCAAAUUAAUAUAAACAGACUCCGUAAGAGUGAAAGGGAAGCUAACAUUGCAAAGUUAGCGUUGUGCAGGAAAGAUAACAGCAAGGAAAUCGAUUUUCCAGCCAGCUGGCGUUUUUAGCGGCUUAAACUUUAUUUUGAGUGAGGAAAUUGUUCUAGCCUAUAACGUCGAUGGGGUCCAAGGGAAGAAGGCCCUUAGGACCCACAAAGAAUUUUUUGCAGCUUUGCUAGAAUGUAUUCCGCCUGACGAUGAGCCCCCCGAAAACACUGUGCGGAAGGCAAUGCAAAGGAUGAAGAAAAGGGUUUUUAAGAAGAAGUGUCUUGCCAAAAACCAGGAGUGGGCUAAGCAUCAUAAAAUUAAAA